GAACGUAGCUCAGCUGGUUAGAGCGUCGGAUUGUGGUUCCGAAGGUCGCGGGUUCGAACCCCGUCGUU
rnacentral:tRNA from 1 species